rnacentral:RNase_P_RNA from 1 species
GAAAGUCCGAACACCGCAGGGCAGGGUGCCGGGUAACACCCGGGCGCCGCGAGGCGAUGGAAAGUGCAACAGAAAGGAUACCGCCCCUCGGCUUCGCUCGGGGCAUCGCCCGAAAGGGCGUCGCUCCGAGCGGAGUCGAGGAGUAAGGGUGAAAUGGCGAGGUAAGAGCUCACCGCGUCCGCGGUAACGCGGGCGGCACGGUAAACCCCACCUGGUGCAAGGCCAAGUAAGCAGCCGUAUCGAAUUGCCCGUUCGUGGCUGCGGGUAGGCCGCAAGGAGACGCGCGGCGACGCGCGUCCAAGAUAGAUUGCCGCAUAAACAGAAUUCGGCUUAUGUCCCCCUCCUUUUU